GGGUUCCUAUUGGCUCCGCCCAUUUGUCUGUUGAUUUUACUGUUAGGCAACCGUGACUCACACGCGCCCGCCCUACUUGCUCAGGGCGCUUCCCAUUGGCUGAAUUGAAUGAUUGAUGUCGGGCGUGAUUGGUUGCGGGCCUCAGGGAUGAGCUAACGUCAUUUGAUUGGACGAAAAUAAAGUGUCCUAGUAACCGUCGCAAUGACUCCGCAGCAGGCUCGGGGCGGUGGCCGGUGCGGCCCCGUAUUCCCGAAGCAGUGUGCGUACUUUGCGCAGCGCGUGCGGCAGCUCCGCCUCGCAGCCGGGCGGGGAGAGGUUCCGUGGAAACUUCGCUGGGCCGCUCCCCCCGGGGGUCCUGAGCACCCCCUGCCUCUCCUCCCGCUCCACAUAAGGGGCCUCCUUCACUCGCCGCCUCCGCCGGCCCCGGGGUGCCGCAGCGGCGCUGUGGGGGCAGGGAGCCGCUCUGCGCAUGCGCGGGCUGCAGCGCCUUUCUAGCACUUUCUGGCGCGCAGCCGCCUGAGGCAGCGGGGCCGCGCGGCCGUUGUCACGGCAACGGCGCCUCACGCCGGGCCGCUGGUAGGGCCCGCGCGCAGCGCUGGGAGCGUGUCCGUUGCGCUCUGCCCCGCCGUCCUGCCCGCAGUGGCCGUUGCCUUGAGGUGUGUGGUGGCUGCGGCCUGCUGGCACGGGUCGGUCCCAGGCAGGGCCAGAAAUGCUGGAAAGAGCCCAGGAGCACUUGGAGCGGCCCCAGAGGCACCUGGACAACCCCGGAGAGCCUGGGAAGAGCCUCAGAGCAUCUGGAGGAACCCGAGAGCUGCCCCAGCAGCCCCCAGAGGCCCUGUGAGAGCCCUGCGCAGAGCACAGAGGCGCCCAGACAGGACCAGGAAGAUGCGCAUCCUGCUCGUCCUCCACAUUCUGAGCCUGAAGGAGCACAGCCAAGCUGCCAAGAAUCUCUAUGGAGCGCAGCUGGAACUGCAGACCAUUUUAGCCCCGUGACUUCUAAUGCUCUGGCAGCCCAGCAAUUAUUGCUACCAGAAGGUGAGCUGGCAAGUAGUGAGGCAGCUUUCUGCCAGAACCUUGUCUCACAUGAAGCGUUCCUUCAAAGGCAAACCAUCUGUACUGAGCUGACAAUUCAGCAAGUCCUGGGAGAAAGAAAACGCACAUUCUAUGGCCCUGCAUGAACAAAAUGAUGAAGUGCAUUCCUAAAUGUUGUUGGUUUAGUGGACGGUCUGCACAGAGGAGCUGCUGCAGAUUCUCAAGGCGGGGAAGUAGGAACACUGGAAAGUAAAAGGAAUAGCAUGGAAAGGAACAGCUUGACCAAUCUGUGGAGGAACGUGUCUCCCACAUUGUGUCUUUUAUUGAAGACAUCUGGUUUAACUGAUACUUGAUUUCUUUGGAAGCUCUCAUCAAAACUUGCUGCAAGUGACAAGUAAGGAGACCUUACCUGAUUUAGAUGAUUCUGAAUUUCCCAUCAGUUAAGUUUGCUGUAUGAAUUAAUGACUGCAGCAGGGAUGCUAGAAAGCAUUAGGGGCCACUAUUAGUAGGCUGGAGUCCUGGUUUUAAUCCAGAGGAAGACAUGGCAGUGAAGUUAAAAUUAAGCUGGAAGUUGCAUUUCAAUUUUUUAACUCUAUUUUAGUUAUUUUUUUUAACUUUUUACUGUAAAUGUUUUUAUGAACUGUCUUUACUGCUUUCAGUAUGGAAGCAACUUUUACUGUGAAUACAAUUGGUUUGAGCAGAACAGAGAAAUACAUUGAAAAAAUUAAUUUUUGAGUAUUGCCUUCGCCUUUUACAGAACCACUGUUGUGUGCAUGCUGGGGGGCUGUAAUUCUUGAUUCUUUACCAGCAGGACAGCAGUUUGUGUCUCUGAAAUAGUGUCCUUGUCUGAACUGAGCCUAGGAUCUGGGGUGGGGCUGGCGGGAGCCCAAACAGGAAUCAUGGAACUAAUUCUGCUUAAAUGGGUACAAAUGUGAAGCUCCGAGUUCCAGAGAGGGAUGCUGCAGAAUGAAUGUGGGUGAAAGCCUGCUUCUCAUACUGCAAAGCUUCCAGUGCUAGUGUCACUUAGGCUUAUGGUAAAACUGAAGUAUGGCAUGGGAAUGGGCACACUUUGUCAUUCCAGUCUUUCUGAUGUUUUAUUUCUAAGGAUAAACAGUACUUUAUUUUCUAUUAAUUACUGCUCCUGAGAGAUUCUGCCUCACGUAGAUCUUCCAUUGAAGCAGGUGUUGCAGGUGAGAGGCUGCACCCAGAGGCCGGUGAGUGAGAGGUGCAGCUGCAGGGCUCCUGGUUGAGAGGCUGUCAUGGUUUAACCCUGCCAGCAGCUGAACACCACGCAGCCUUUCGCUCACUGUCCCACCACCUUCAGCGGGAUGGGGAGAGAAUCGAAAGAAAAAAGGUAGAACUCGUAGGUUGAGAUAAAAACUAUUUACUUGGACAGAAAAGGAAGCGAGAGGUAACAGUAAUGAUAAUAAUUACACAUUAUAUAUAUAUACAAAACAAGUGAUGCACAAGCAUCUGCUCACCACCUGCUGACUGACGCCCAGUCAGUCCCCAAGCAGCAGCAGCCCCCCCAUGGCCAACUCCCCUCAGCUUCAGUUUCCUCACGUGCUGUC